rnacentral:rRNA from 1 species
CGAAGCGGGAGGGACAUUGCUGGAACGCGCCCGGCGCACCCAGAAACCCUUUGUGAACUUAUACCUUACUGUUGCCUCGGCGCAGGCCGGCCUCUUAGCUGAGGCCCCCCGGAGACGGGGAGCAGCCCGCCGGCGGCCAAGUUAACUCUUGUUUCUACACUGAAUCUCUGAGUAAAAAAAACAUAAAUGAAUCAAAACUUUCAACAACGGAUCUCUUGGUUCUGGCAUCGAUGAAGAACGCAGCGAAAUGCGAUAAGUAAUGUGAAUUGCAGAAUUCAGUGAAUCAUCGAAUCUUUGAACGCACAUUGCGCCCUCUGGUAUUCCGGAGGGCAUGCCUGUUCGAGCGUCAUUUCAACCCUCAAGCCUGGCUUGGUGUUGGGGCACUGCUUCGAGAGAAGCAGGCCCUGAAAUCUAGUGGCGAGCUCGCUAGGACCCCGAGCGUAGUAGUUAUAUCUCGUUCUGGAAGGCCCUGGCGGCGCCCUGCCGUUAAACCCCCAACUUCUGAAAUUUUGACCUCGGAUCAGGUAGGAAUACCCGCUGAACUUAAGCAUAUCAAUAAGCGGAGG